rnacentral:lncRNA from 1 species
UAAUGCUUGUUCAUUGGAGGUAAUUUUGAAAACAUAAAGUAAAUAAAGACUUUUUAAAAACAGCUAAUUUUAAGGUUAAAAAGUGUUUUCUGACUAUCUUAAUGCUUUUUUCUUUUAUUACUAUUUAUUCCAAAAGAAGAUUUAAAGCUGCUUUUAUUGGGAAACAUAAACAUUUUGAGGAGUUAGUACGGGGCAAAGAGUUUGUUGUGGAAAAUGGGGGCUAGGACAAGUGGAAGCAAGGUGAACACAAGGCAUUUUGUAGGGAGAGGAAUUUGGCUGUAAGUAGUUACAUGUGAGUAGUGUGUUGGAUUGAGGGAGUCCUUAAAUCUGAUGUGGAAAUUAGUAUAAUUCAGCAAUCCUUAGGAAACUGAGGUGUAAGCAUUCGCUCUUGUAAGACACCUACCCAGUGAUUAUGUAGAAGGAUGUUAAUCAAAAUGUUU